GACGAACGCUGGCGGCGUGCCUAAUACAUGCAAGUAGAACGCAGUUGCGAACGGGUGAGUAACGCGUAGGUAACUGCCUCAUAGCGGGGGAUAACUAAUGGAAACGAUAGCUAAUACCGCAUACUGUGAGAUGGACCUGCGUUGUAUUAGGUAGUUGGUGAGGUAAAGGCUCACCAAGGCGACGAUAACUAGCCGACCUGAGAGGGGGAUCGGACACAUUGGAACGGGUACACGGCCCAUACCCCUCAGGGAGGAAGCAGUAGGGCAUCUGCGUAAAUGGAAGGAAGGAUGACCGAUCAACGCAGGGUGAGUGAACAAGGUUGUCGGACCGAAAAGCUCUGUUGUUGGAGAAGCGGUAACUAAGCCGAAAGGGACGGCUAACUACGUGCCAGCAGCCGCGGUAAUUC
rnacentral:rRNA from 1 species